UGGUUGGAAGUAAAAGUCGUAACAAGGUCUCCGUUGGUGAACCAGCGGAGGGAUCAUUA
rnacentral:rRNA from 1 species